UGUGUGUGUGUACGUGUGUGCGUGUGCCUGCCUUUAAAACAAAGGAUCUUAAAGCACAUGUCUGGUUAAGAACCACUAUAAACUACAUGCCCUGCCCACACCUCACCUAGUGUCAUGAGCACCAGGCAUCAGGCCUUCAGUACCCUUGGGCAAGACACUAUCCAGAAGUGGUGGAACAUUUAAGGGGCAGGCAGGACAUGGUUAAAAGAAUUGAGGUCACUGGGAUGUGUCCUUAAAGAAUAAAUUGGACCCCACCUCUUCCUGUUUGUCUCCUAGCUGCCCUGAGGCCCCCCCCAUACACUGUGCCCCAACAUGCCCAAAGCAACAUGGGCCAACAGAGCAUGCACUUUCCUCCUUAUAAAUUGAUUUAUCUAACAUCUUGGUCCAGCAACAGAAUGCAAAGCAGUACAAUGGAAACAUAAUUUUGCUUGUUUUGUGUGUGUGGUAUGUGUGUGCUUGCAUGUGUGCUUGUGUGUGUGUCUUAAUAUAUAUAUUAUUGUUGUUUGAGUUCUGAGUCCCCACCUCUAUCCCAGCAAACCCCAUAGAAAUAGAAGCUCUCAGAAUUCUUAGAAUUUCUCUUUGUGCACUAAUAAGCUUUUAGAAGCCAGAUUAGUGUUUUGAUAAAAACAGGGAAACUUGUGGAACAAAUGAUUAUUCUGUAGGUGCUGCGCCAAAUACUCUGUAACAACUCACUUUUCUACACCAAAAAGAUGAUUCGUAAACACACCUGCUGCUCUCUGUCCAGGGCACCCGUUUGUGGCUGCAGUGCUCCCCAGCCUUCUACAGGACAAACUGUAGAAGUAGCUUUCCCCAAGGUACUAAGGUCACUGCCUCCCUGGCUUCAACUAGGUUCCUGGCUGGACUGACUACAAGCAAGUCAAGACACAAGAGUCAAGAUGGCUUCUCAGGUUUAUAGCCGAGGUCUGUAGGAAGCAGCUCUGCUGGGAGGAUUGGGGGUUGAAGCUGUGCUUGCAAUGGCUUAACAUCGGAGGAUUCCCCCCAGACUCCAGUUAUUCCAGUGCCCUCAACGGAUGCCCCACUCAUCCCCUUACUUCCUUGAGACCUCUACUCAAAUGCUGCAUCUCAGGAAACUGGCCACCUUACUUUGACUAUCUCACAACCUAACCCAAUAAUUAAAAUGGAAAACCCAAGGAAUAAAACAAUUGCACACCAAUGGUGACCAUGUCUGCUCUGGGAGCCGACUCCUCUUCAGGAUAAGAAUCUAAAUUUAGGCUUAAAUACAACGGUCAGUGUAUAGAGGGAAGGAAGGGGUGGUGACUUUGAGAAGUGAUUAGCACAAAGGCUUGCCUUUUAUGUGUGGAUUAAAGGCAAUAGAAAGGAGACUUUGCAGAAUCUGGCCCUUUUAGCUUUCUGCCUUCCACAUAGAGAUGGAGCCUCACCAGACAACUCAACCUACUAGCAUCAUGGUCUUAGACUUUACAGUCUCAGAAAGUAAGUUUCUUCUUUCUGAGCUACCCAGUUUUGGGUAUUUUGUUACAGUGGUACAAACUGACUAUGUGAAGGUCUCUAGGGAUAGCCUCUUGUGUGCUCUGAGAUGACAGCAGGUAAUUCAUCAUAUUUCACUUGUGGGUACUCAACAAAAACGGGGGAAGCAGCCAAUUCCUGCAUUUUGGGAAGACAGGAUUUUCUGUAAGGUAUGAGUUCUGACUGGCCUUGUAGUCCCUUCUCUUCCUUUAUCAGGGAAGACUCUAACAUUCUUGUGUACGUGGCAUAAGAUACACAGCUAAAUUUUUCCCCAAGAGAAGAACCAACUGUUGCAAAACAAGUUAUAAAAUGUCCAUCAUUUUUUUUUGUCAUAAAUGGCAUGACAUUUAAAAUCAAAUUGUAACAUUCCCAUGAACUGGCGUAAGUUGUGUUAGUUUCUGUCAGACUAAUCCCUGUGCCAAAUCCAUUCCCAACUACAGAUUUACAACAGUUUUACCCCUCAGAAGAUGGGUCUCCCCAUAUUUACACAUUUCUAAUUAUCCAAUCUCGUUUGUU